rnacentral:lncRNA from 1 species
CUGAUGCUAAACUUGUGCUUUCUACCUAUUAUGGUUCUGGAGACAAUAAGAACGAGAUUGAUAUUGAUGAAUUUCUCGUAAAUGGUAAGAAAAUUUAAUUUAGUGUCACUAAAGGAUCACGUGUUCCUGUUGGAGAACAUCUGCCAUUGACCAACGGCUUUGCUAUGUUGGCUUAAUGGGAAUCACCGAAGGAAUAAAAGACCCUUCAGUGUUUGAUAACCCACCAGAGUGUAAUCGAGCGGGAACAGUUUCUCCGGUAGGUUUAAAGAUUACACACGUAUGCAUGUAAAAUUUCAAUUUAUAGUUUAACCAUACUGCCCUUGGAUGUCGGUUUAAAGAUUAGAUUAACACAUGAGAGAACAAAAAAUCCGUAUACGAAGUCUCGGUUGACCACUUUUUCAUCGAGCGUAAGGCAGAUUGUUUUGUUUUUAUUAUACUUGAUGCCUUAUGAUUUAAAUGUACACUAUAUUAUUAGACAAUAACAAUCAAAACCAAGGAGUAAACAAAGACUCACAAAACCAAAGGACAUUUACAUCAACAGUUAUAAAAAUAAAUAAGACACAACACGAACUCCACUAAAAAUCGGGAGUUAAAUCAGGUGCUCCAGAAGGGUAAGCAUUUCCUGCACCGUAUUACAACAGCUGUAAAAUAAAUAAAGUCAUAAAUUAAGAUAGUUUAUUAAUAACUACAACAAAAUGAUACAAAUGAUUAAGAAAUAAGAAUCGGUAAAGCGUUUUCAGGGGUAUCAUUUGCCCCAAAUUUUGUUUUCCAAAUGUAUCAAUGUGCAUUGUUCCGAUUUGACAAUCACCAGGCCCAGGCGGUUGUUUAUUUUAGGCAAUAACACCCGUUGCUAAUAUUAUCACAUUUUGCUAUGGGUUGGCAUAGUUUAUGAAAAGCUAGUGAAAAUUACAAAAUUUUCGUGUAUCUUAAAACAAAUGGAUAAUAUACGUUAUUUGCCUAAAGUAUAGUAACUGUAAUAGAAUAUUUCACUGUUUAAAAGUAGGAAUCAGUAUAAUAGGUUCUGUGUCGAGGUGGGAAGUGUAUCACAUUUAACUUCAAUGUGAUUGUUAGUCAUUAUAUUAACAAAUAAGAGCACCGAAAUUAACCAUUUCUGCUGUACAUUAUCAAUCGAGUCUCAAUAAAGAAUAUUUAUGAGUCAAUAUAUUUUUAACUUCGUCACUAUAAAAGAGAAAACUAGGUUGAUUUUUUUCCUGGACAGUUUUGUGAAUAGAAUAUGCAUAAGGUUUUAGGUUAAUAAUUAAAUAUACAUAAUGAUUGUCGUCACUCACAAUCACUUAAGGUGACUCGGCCCUUUAUUAGUGCGCAUAUUUUAACGCAUGUUUCUUACGACGAGUGCCUUGGAAACGGUCGCUUUUGGGGGUCUUCUCAAAAAUAGCUUUGGUGAACUCGGGCGUGUAUUAAAGCACCCUUGGCGAUGUAAACAAGUGAUGCAAAACGUUCUUCAAAACACGAAAUAUGUACAGUCGGAAAUUCAGAGUGCAGAUUGAUAUCGAAUAAAAUUAAAUCAGACUAAAAUUUUCCUUUGUAUGAUUUUUAUACCCCCCUUUUUUACAUUCUGCAUACGUACAUAUGUUCUGUGUUUGUCUUUUGAAACAGACUUUAGAAAUUCGUAUAAAGAAACGUAUACAUUUUUUAUUUCAAACCGUAUAAUUAUGAACAAUGUGGCACUGAAGCAAAUAAAUUGAAUGAUUCCGUUUAGGUUUAAAGAUUAUCAUCUCCAAGAAAUGUCAAAUAUGUUGAUGUUUUGUCUACCUUUUUCAUAAAUACUAUAUUUUAUAAUUUCAGAGAAUGCAGUAUAUAAAUAAGAGCGGAAGUGUUUAAUGUGAAAAAAUGUAUAAAUCAAAGAAAAAAAUGUUCAGUACGAAAAAA